rnacentral:lncRNA from 1 species
AGCAACAUGCUCUGGUAACCUUCCAUGGUGUGGAAGCUUUGUUCUUUUGCUCUUCACAGUAAGUCUUGCUGCUGCUCACUCUUUGGGUCCUCACUACCUCUAUGACCUGUAACACUCACUGCAAAGUUCUGCUGCUUCACUCCUGAAGUCAGUGAGACCACGAACCCACCAGAAGGAAGAAACUCUGAACACAUCUGAGCAUCUGAAGGAACAAACUCCGGACACACCAUCUUUAAGAACUGUAACACUCACCGUGUGGCUAUUUUCAUUCUUGAAGUCAGCGAGACCAAGAACCUACAGGAAGGAAUAAAUUCCGGACACAAGGAAUGUUCCUCAGUUAUCAUGUGUGAAAUUUUGUUUCCUGAUUUUCUGCAAUAGAUCCAUGUGAAUUUCAGUCAUCUGUCUGUUUUUAUGGAUUAAAUGUCAGCUGAAGGUUGAAUCGGGCAAAAACUGAAAGAAGACAACAGUUUGAAGGCUUCCCUUUCCAUUUCCAAACAUAAUACCAAAUGACUUAAAAUGAAUGAAGAUGCUUUAGAGCUCUGGGUGUCACGAUAAAACAUAAACUUACACAUUCACUUUGACCCACAUAUUGUCCUUUCUAAGAUGUUUCAAAAUGGGAAAAUCCUCUGUGUCAUUUUAUUUGAAAAAAAAAAUCAGGAAGCACCAUUGCAUGCAUGUGAGCCGAGCAGAUGUGCAUACAAACAUGCGUGUGUGUACAUGAAGCACAACCAGCAUUUGGAAUAUCCUCCCUCAGGCAAAGCAAGGACCUGUAAGUAGUACUAUUUUUCCUAUCAGCCCUGGAGAGUACAGAGGGAGCCCUGUGUGUUAUUAAUGGAUAAAAUCUGAACGGCAGCCAACCCCAAGGUGAACCCUAUGCAUUUAAAACAUUUCAUCAGACAGCUAAGGUUUUUCUUUUUUUUUUCAGCAGAUAUCUCUCCAGCCACCACUCAAUAGAUCCCAAGAAGAGAGCAAUAGCUGGCCUCACUAAUGUGCAAAUUGAUAGUAUGAGCUCCCCACCAAAAUAUAAACAGCUCUUUAUUCCUUAAGUAUCAAUAUCAUAGGCUGGGCUGGUGUGAGGGAAGUCUGUGGACUACCGUAGAAUUAUCUGGCAAAAAGAAAUAGUAAAUGUAAAAUCUUUGCCCAGCCAGCUGGCUUCCUGAGUUUCUUUCUGUGAUGUUUGAAUGCUCUGCUGAAUUCUAACAGCUGGAAUCUAGACAUUUGUCUAGUUUAUGACUUCAGUUUUUUAUAAGGGUUAAUGUGGGUGGUUUAUAAAGUUAGAGGUAGAAUAAAAAUAAUUAAUGUUUACUUAUUAUUUUUAUUUGUCUCUGCUUAAUUACUAAAAUGGUUUGAAUGUUCACUGGUUAUUUUCAUUUGCUGCGGUCCAUUCUUUACUCUGUUUUGUUCCCAGAGAGGCUGACUCCUGCGUAUUGUAUCACCCUGGCUACCUGGCCAACUGGCUUCAAAUUGGGCUUGACCACUGGGAGGUCCUGAGAGAAGACUGGAGGACAACAAGAGGCAGAGACUGUGGUAUUUCUUUCUUCCUACUGUGGGCCGGAUUGCUGGCACUGGCUGUGUCCUUCCAGGAACACAGCUCCCAAAGAGAGGCCCAUCUGCAUGGCCCCAGCUCUCACUGUUCUUUGCUAACACAACUUCCAUUCGUGCCUCUUUAGGCUUGGAAGUGGCAAAGCCUGUCCACUCUUGCUAGUCUCUGAGUGCCUCAUAUCCCUGAUUUUUCCCUUUUGCUCUAUCCACAACUCAGGAAGUAAUUUCUUCAUUAGAGUCCCCUGUACCACAUGGACUGGAUUCAACUUUCUGCUAUUUUCAGUAUUAAAUUAGUUAAUAUUUGUAGAAUGCUUACAAUAGUGCCUGACACAUAAUAAGCAUGCUUUAUGUUUGUUAAAUCAAUAAAAAUAAACACAUAUAAUAUAACACUGAGUCAUGUGUUCAGAGGAAAGGGGUGCUAUGUUUGUCCAGGCGGAAUCAAGAGCUCACCCCUGGUGUAAGAGUUUGUGGAGUCAAGGGGUUAAUACGCAGGAGAAAGAAAACCCCCAAGGUGACCAAAACAAUAGCAGCAACAACAAAACAGAGUUGUAUGCCAUACCCUAGUUCCUAAGGUUGCUAUUUUGGCCUCAAGGAUUCUUUUUUUUUAAUAUUGGUUAAACAUGCAUUUCAUUUUUCCAAAGUAGAAUUUGAAACUCUACUAACUCUACUAACUUUAGUUGCUCUUCCUAACUAAAGAGAGCAAAGACUAAGCAAGUAUGAGUAAAACAAAAGGAAACUUUAUUAACACAUCCUGGCUACCUUUAGGCCAGUAGAGAGGAAGAGGAGGAGGAUGUACAUGCCUAGAAAAGAAUAGGAAGUCACAGCCCUUGCCACUGCAGCCUGGGUGUGUGACACUGCAGUAGGCUAUGUCAAGGAAGGCUGUAGUCCCCAAGGAACUAGAUCUGCCUUGUCUUAUGGGAGAAAUGCAGAGCAGGAAUUCAGUAGUCUGGCAGGUCAAGCAGCAAAGGCCCAGCAAAGAAUGUGAGUCCUGUCAUCCAAGACCAUCUUAGGGCCCUUUUUUUUUUUUUUUUUCUUUG